rnacentral:rRNA from 1 species
AUUGAACGCUGGCGGCAGGCCUAACACAUGCAAGUCGAGCGGAGCGGCGGACGGGUGCGUAAUGCCUAGGACUCUGCCUGGUAGUGGGGGAUAACGUCCGGUAACGGGCGCUAAUACUGCUUCCUAUCGGCUUCGCCUGGGUCGGAUUAGCUAGAUGGUGGGGUAAAGGCCUACCAAGGCGACGAUCCGUAACUGGUCUGAGAGGAUGAGCAGUCACACUGGAACUGAGACACGGUCCAGACUCCUACGGGAGGCAGCAGUGGGGAAUAUUGGACAAUGGGCGAAAGCCUGAUGCAGCCAUGCCGCGUGUGUGAAGAAGGUCUUCGGGUUGUAAAGCACUUUCAGUUGGGAGGCGUUACCAGCAGAAUAAGCACCGGCUAACUUCGUGCCAGCCGCCGCGGUAAUAC